rnacentral:lncRNA from 1 species
CCGCCUCCCAGGUUCACACCAUUCUCCUGCCUCAGCCUCCCAAGUAGCUGGGACGACAGGCGCCCAGCACCACACCUGGCUAAUUUUUUUGUAUUUUUAGUAGAGAUGGGGUUUCACCGUAUCAGCCAGGAUGGUCUUGAUCUCUUGACCUCAUGAUCCACCCACCUAGGCCUCCCAAAGUGCUGGGAUUACAGGCGUGAGCCACCGUACCCGGCCCAGAACUCUUUACUUUUUUUCUUUAAAGUCAGGUUUAUUGAGGCGUAAUUUACACAAAGUAAAAUCUUACUUUUUCAUGUAUAAUAUGAUGGGUUUUGACAAAUGCACACGGCUGUGUAAGCACUGCCACACUAAAGAUACAGAGCAGCUCUAUCACUCCUUCAAAACUCCCUCAUGCCCUAUAAAGUCAGCCUUUGAGAAAGGAAGCCACAGGAGGGUUGCCAGCAGAGAAGUGAUGUGAUCUUACUUUACUUAAAAAGGAUCACGCUGGUUGCUAGUUGGAGAAUAAACUGGAAGGAGCAAGGGUAGAAUUAGGAAGUUGGAAUACAAGAAAAUGAUACAGUGGCUUGGAAUAAAGUUAGUAGAGGUAGCGGCGGUGAAAAGUUCAUAAUAAAAACUUUAUAAACUUGGCUGAGUGUGGUGGCUCAUGCCUGUAAUCCCAGCACUUUAGGAGGCUGAGGCGGGAGGAUCACCUGAGGUCACGAGUUCGAGACCAGCCUUGCCAACACGGCAAAACGCC